rnacentral:lncRNA from 1 species
AAAAUUACAGGGAAAGUACAAGAUGGAUUCUGUUAGGAAAGCUAUACAAACUGCCAUGGCUUGUGUGCCUCUAACCGGAGCCGAAAGGCCAGACAUAGAUGUUGUCUAUAAGGAUUUAGAGCAAUGCUUGAAAAUGGAGUCGGCUCCUGAUCCUGAACCAAGGACUACAGUUAGCGAUGAUAUUACAUUUCCAACGAGCAGGUGCAUGAUAUCAUAAGUUAAUGCUAUAUGUAAACACAAUGUAUUUUUAUGGUACAUUAUUUGAAAUUGAGAGUUUGAUUGAUGCUACUUUUAUAAUGGAAAAAGAAAGGGCAGGCUAAAUGUUGAUUUUUUUUUUUUUUUUCCCAUACGGUCCAAUUCUAAGGUAGAUUCUGUUCUGUUCAUGGGUGGCAAAGUCAAAGUAGACUCUAAUCUUUUGAAGGAGUUGACAACUCAAUUAUGAUAUUUUUAAAAAUGGAACAAAAGUCAAGGUUCAAGUCUUCCCUCACAAAUGGUGAAAUUCUUUUUGCAGCAACGUCUAAUUGCAACCCAAAAUCAAAGUACUAGAAAAAUAGGAGAUUCACUAUUAUACCCAAAAUUGUAUAUUCAAAAAAAGAUAGUUGGCAAUAAUAGAGUAUAUUUAUAAAAUCUAUUUCCUGUAGGAUAGGGUGUGUUUAUAAAGUCAGUUUCAUAUAGGGUUUUACUAUGAUUCUAUAGCUAAAAAUUUAAGGACCCGCCCCGAAUUUUCUCAAAAUCCGAGACGAACCCUUUGGAAUUCCUGACAUCACCCCGAUGUCAGGCCCACUUACUAAAAACCGAGACUUCCUGCCGAAAUUUCGGCAGUCUCCCCUAUAAUUUGGACAUUUCCCAAAAUUUCAACCUGCAUAAAAACGCAUUUAAUAUUCCCAACUGGCAGCAUGCACAAUAUAAUUUCAUGCAAUUCACACAAAUGGCCUUUGGCCUUUCAAUAAUUCCUAUCCAACUACCAAACCAUUCAAAUACCAAAUAUGACUAACAUUUAGUCUGCGGCUGCACCUAAUAACCUUAGGCUGCCUACGUACCCUCCUUGAGGGAUCAAGCCACACGUAGUUCUUCCCUAAAACCUAAUUCCACACUUGGGCGAUACCUUAUUUCAUUUAUCUAUAUUUCACAUAUUCUCCCCAUACGCCGGUACAACCAACGCCACGUAUGGAGCCUGUCAACACGCCGGAUAACCUACGCCACGUGCGACCAUGCCAUAUUCUCAUCAUAUCUCCCCAUACGCCGGUACAACCAACGCCACGUAUGGGGCCUGUCUCAACGCCGGAUAACCUACGCCACGUGAGACCUGCACAUCAUAUCACAUAACUCCCCAUACGCCGGUACAACCAACCCCACGUAUGGGGCCUGUCCCAACGCCGGAUAACCUACGCCACGCGGGACCUCAACAUCAUAUCGCAAAUCUCCCCAUACGCCGGUACAACCAACGCCACGUAUGGGGUCUGUCCCAACGCCGGAUAACCUACGCCACGUGGGACCUAACUUUCACUUGGUGAUACUUGUAGAAAUUCCAAAGUCCGAGGAGGUACCUAGAGUAGUGCGUAUAGCACUCCAAACUGACAUUCUAGACUCUGUUGUACCCUUGUACAACCACAUAAUUUAUAUAAAUAAUUCUAAUAUUGUGUAACCCUCCACAAUCAUCUAGCACCCGAUAAUCCCCCCUAGAAAGGUGAGAUUACUCCGGGAGACUCACGGUCAACCAAGGGUCAAACUAUUCUAACCCUGGUCAACCGGACCUGUGGAACCCACGACCUCCAAUUUCCGAUCCGAAGGUCCCUAUGGGUUCUACCAGGUACAGGACACUUGUCCUGCCAGUUUGGUUCAGAUCAGACGGUCGGAUUUCUCACGAUCGCAUAAUCUGAUGGUUAAUAUAAAAUAUAAACUUUAAAUUAUUAUUCGGAACAUCCGGGGCUCCGAUUCACGAUCCGUGAAAUCCUACACGAUCCUAGAAAUACCUAGAUCAACAUAUUUUAAAUUUGGGACCAUCCAACGGUCCCAACCUAUCGAACCCGGAUAAGGCGCAAUACGCUAAUAUCCGUUCGAUAGUCAAACGACGUCCGAAUUGAGAUCCGCGAAAUCCUACGCACUCGUGACAACCUAAGGAUCUCAUCGGAACACAGUGCUAUUUUUCUACAGUGCCCACGCGCCGCCGCACGCGCCGGCAGCGCGUGGGUGCCCAAAGCGAUAACGCUUCACCGGAAAAUCUUAAAAUCACGGCCCCAAAUUCCUACCCCAGGUAUAACACCCUAUUUGGAGCCACUUUUGUUCUUGGACCUACCCCAAAAAGUGGCCGAAAAUGGCCGAUCACGGCGGCCGAAGUUUCGGCCGAUUUUCAAUUCGAAAAUCGAGUGAUCUAGAGAUCGAAUCGAUCAAAACCCAACCAACAGGCAGCUAGAACAGCUCGAGAGGUUCAAGAUCCAUACCUGGGUCGACGGAAAUGGUGGUCGGAGGAGGGAGAUCGAAGGCGUUGAAGUUUCGACGACCUCCCGGCGGUUUUCUGCAUUUUCCGGCCAGAAACGGCCGGGUCGCCGGCGGGGAAUGGUCGGGGAAGGAAGGGGACGUCGUCCCGGUCAGUUUGGUACCGGCCCCGCCCACAGCCGUGGUCGGUGGCCGGAGAUACAAGGAGAGAAAGAGAGAGAGCCGACGGGAGAGAGAGAGAGAGAGAAAAAAACCAGAUUUUUAUAAAAAAAAUUCCAUUUCGAAAUAUUUACGAUUAUGCCACUGGACUUCUUUUGACCAUAUCUCUCUCGUUACAACUCCGAUUUGAGCCCACUACGUGUCUGUGAAC